rnacentral:tRNA from 1 species
GGUAGGCCGCAAGGUUGGCGUGCUUAUCGGUCUUGAAAACCGUGAUGGCGGGUUCCCGCCGUAAGGGUUCGAUCCCCUUGCCUACCUCCA